GGAUGUGAGGGCGAUCUGGCUGUGACAUCUGUCACCCCAUUGAUUGCCACGGUUGAUUUGGCUGAUCUGGCUGGCUAGGCGGGUGACCCCUUCCUCCCUCACUGCUCCAUGUGCUUCCCUCCUGAAGCUGUGCGCUCUGUCGAAGAGGACGACCUUCCCUGAUAGAGGAGGACCAUUCUUCGGUCAAGGGUUUACGAGUAGCUGCGCUUCCCUGCUAGAACCUCCAAAGAACCUCUCAAGGAGAAGAUGUCUAGUGUGGAUCCAAGCCUCUUCCCCUCAUUCUGAUACUGUAACUCUCAUGAAGUUUUUAAUUCUUA
ensembl:misc_RNA 7SK 7SK RNA